rnacentral:rRNA from 1 species
CAGUCGAACGAAGCACAGAAAGCAGAUUACUUCGGUUUGAAGCUUUCUGCGAUUGAGUGGCGGACGGGUGAGUAACGCGUGGAUAACCUGCCUCACACAGGGGGAUAACAGUUAGAAAUGACUGCUAAUACCGCAUAAGCGCACAGUCUCGCAUGGGACAGUGUGAAAAACUGAGGUGGUGUGAGAUGGAUCCGCGUCUGAUUAGGCAGUUGGCGGGGUAACGGCCCACCAAACCAACGAUCAGUAGCCGGCCUGAGAGGGUGAACGGCCACAUUGGGACUGAGACACGGCCCAAACUCCUACGGGAGGCAGCAGUGGGGAAUAUUGCACAAUGGGGGAAACCCUGAUGCAGCGACGCCGCGUGAAGGAAGAAGUAUUUCGGUAUGUAAACUUCUAUCAGCAGGGAAGAAAAUGACGGUACCUGACUAAGAAGCCCCGGCUAACUACGUGCCAGCAGCCGCGGUAAUACGUAGGGGGCAAGCGUUAUCCGGAUUUACUGGGUUUAAAGGGUGCGUAGGCGGACUGUCAAGUCAGCGGUAAAAUACGGGGGCUCAACCUCCGCCCGCCGUUGAAACUGACGGUCUUGAGUGGGCGAGAAGUAUGCGGAAUGCGUGGUGUAGCGGUGAAAUGCAUAGAUAUCACGCAGAACUCCGAUUGCGAAGGCAGCAUACCGGCGCCCAACUGACGCUGAAGCACGAAAGCGUGGGUAUCGAACA